rnacentral:rRNA from 1 species
UACGUAGGGUGCAAGCGUUAAUCGGAAUUACUGGGCGUAAAGCGUGCGCAGGCGGUGAUGUAAGACAGUUGUGAAAUCUCCGGGCUCAACCUGGGAACUGCAUCUGUGACUGCAUCGCUGGAGUGCGGCAGAGGGGGAUGGAAUUCCGCGUGUAGCAGUGAAAUGCGUAGAUAUGCGGAGGAACACCGAUGGCGAAGGCAAUCCCCUGGGCCUGCACUGACGCUCAUGCACGAAAGCGUGGGGAGCAAACAGG